rnacentral:lncRNA from 1 species
GUUCCUCUUACAGCCUUCUGCAGGGCCUGGUGGCAUCUGCUGUGGCUACUCCCAGGAGCAGAUCUUUAGGCUGUAGAGAUGCAGAAGUAGUCUUUGGCAGUCAACCCAGCAGUAGCAGAUGGAAGUGUGAAGUGCAGGAAGAAAGCUACAAAUAGCCGAACAAGAAAAACCUGACACGUCCUGGGCUUGCACAUCAUGAACCUUUUCAAGCUGUGGGAUAGCACUGACUUCUGAAAAGGGCUAUUUUAGGCAACAUCUCAUGAAGUUUGGCUCUCUUCACACACUGGCCUUCAUCUGCACGUGGAGAAGACAGUUCCUACAACAGCAGCUUCUUUACUAUCACUUGGUUCCCUCCAGUGAUGAGCUAACACAGCACCAUGUGGAGCAUCACCCUGAGCAGCAGGGAGAGUCCCAGUCAUCUUCUGCAUGCAUCCCUUCCAGGGAACAGGGAGUGGAAGGAACGGAGUGAUGAUGAGAAAGAGACACUGAGGUGCAGAAAAACAAGAAAGUGGAUUUUUGCAAGAGCAGCAGCAAAAUCAAGGGAAGAUACACAACAAAAUGGACUCAGGUGCAAAACGGUGCAUGGAGAGGUUCAGGAUGAAGAGACUAAGGCAUAUGGGGCUGGGAAGCGCAGAACGAGGUGUUGUAGUUACUGCGGCAUCCAGAAAAAGCAUUAGCAGGAGAAGUGAGUGACUGAUGGCUGAUUUGUCCUGAGCGCAUGUCGAAAGAACAAGCUUCCUCCUGCAAAUUGUUUUCUCCCUGCCUCAACCAAGAGACGGCUGCUAUUCUGGUGAAGUGACAGAUGCUGCUACCAGUCAUAUGACUAGGCAAAAACGCUCUCAUUUUUAGGAAUAUGGGAUGAUGUGUUCUAGUAUCCAAGGGUAAUUUCUUACUAUUUAUUCUUGCUUGCCCCUGACACAUCCCCUGCCAUCUAUUUCUAGAUUUUUCCUCUUGGGUAGCAGACUUAAGUCUGUACUUUUUCUUACAAGCCAUAAACAGAAAAGAACAGUGUUUCUGCAAAAAUACACACAGA